rnacentral:rRNA from 1 species
GCUUUAUAAAUAACUUAGAUUUAAUUAAUUUAUACCAUAAAAAUUAAAUUUAAUUAUUUUAUUUUAUUGGGGUGAUGUGAAUAUAAAUUUUAUUAACUGUUUAAUUGGAAUACUAUUAUAAUAGAUUUAUUAUAUAAAUGAUCCUUUUUAAAGAUUAAAAGAUUAAGUU